rnacentral:rRNA from 1 species
UACAGAGGGUGCGAGCGUUAAUCGGAAUUACUGGGCGUAAAGCGCACGUAGUCGGCUUUGCAAGUCGGUUGUGAAAUCCCCGGGCUCAACCUGGGAACUGCAUCCGAGACUGCAUUGCUAGAGUAUGGGGAGAGGAAAGCGGAAUUUCUGGUGUAGCAGUGAAAUGCGUAGAUAUCGGGAGGAACACCUGAGGCGAAAGCGGCUCUCUGGACCACAACUGACGCUGAGGCGCGAAAGCUAGGGGAGCAAACAGG